rnacentral:rRNA from 1 species
CCUACGGGUGGCAGCAGUGGGGAAUAUUGGACAAUGGGCGAAAGCCUGAUCCAGCCAUGCCGCGUGUGUGAAGAAGGCCUUCGGGUUGUAAAGCACUUUCAGUGGGGAAGAAAGCCUUGGGGCUAAUACCCUCGAGGAAGGACAUCACCCACAGAAGAAGCACCGGCUAACUCCGUGCCAGCAGCCGCGGUAAUACGGAGGGUGCGAGGGUUAAUCGGAAUUACUGGGCGUAAAGCGCGCGUAGGCGGUCUGAUAAGCCGGUUGUGAAAGCCCCGGGCUCAACCUGGGAACGGCAUCCGGAACUGUCAGGCUAGAGUGCAGGAGAGGAAGGUAGAAUUCCCGGUGUAGCGGUGAAAUGCGUAGAGAUCGGGAGGAAUACCAGUGGCGAAGGCGGCCUUCUGGACUGACACUGACGCUGAGGUGCGAAAGCGUGGGUAGCAAACAGGAUUAGAUACCCUUGAGUC